UCUCAGUCACUUUGACCAUGACAUGAUUGUUGGUGCCAGAUGGGAGAUCAGAGUACUGCGUGUGUGGCAGUUCUGCAGUCAAUGGUCAAUGACAGGAAGGCUACAGAAGGCAACUCAAAUAACCACUCAUAACCAUGUUGACCAGAAAAGCAUCUCAGAAUGCACAACAGGCUGACUCUUGAGGUGGACAGGUUCUGCUCCUGCCAGCCAAGAACAGGAAUCUGAGGCUACAUUCGAGACAGACUUACCGAAACUGGAUAGUUGAAGAUUGCAAAAGGACCAGGCAUGCAAUACUGCUGAUGAACAUUUGGGGUUUUACUGAGUCAGAGGACAUUUUCACUGUCAGAAAUAGUGUUUUGUGUGUGUGUGUUUUUUUGCGUGUGCACGUGUGUGCAUGUACUGGAACUUCGUGUUCUUUUGUAGCUUUAGUGAGCUUGUGCUCCAGUAUCACAGCCGUGAUCAUUUCCAGAUGUUCACGGACUGUUUUUCUCUCUUCUUUUUUUGUGAAAUUAUUCUCUCACUCACAUACCCCCCUUUUUUCCACAAGACCUAUCUAAGCCCCACUUGCAGGCUGACACUCAGAUUAGAGGUUUGAAUGAAGCAUGACUUGCUGUAUAAUGUGAUUGACAACUGGUUUAUUGUUGUAUCUGAAAAAGCACACUACCCUAAACCUGCAUGCCUGCUCUCAUUUCCACCUACUUUUUAUUUGGUCUCUAUGGAAAUCAUCAUUCUUCUUUACUGCCAUCCCAAUGCUUAACUUUAGGACAUUUGAAAAGUAACCAUAUGUUUGUUAUUAGGCAGUGGUAGAUCAGUGGUUAUGGUUUUACGUUCAGUGACUGGAAGGUUGUGAGUUCAAAUUCUAAAACGGGCACAGAGCAUCUGGGCCGUUGAACAAGACCCUCAAUCCUGAAUUGCUCUGCUCCAAGCAUAGACUCGUUCCUUUUCUGGACUGUUUGGCCAUUCUGUUGCGUCAAACUUCUUUUCCCUACCUUCUUGCAGCUUCAUGUCUGCUUUUGUUUGUCUGUUCCUCUUGUCUGCGGCAUGGUUGUCCCGUGCACAAACACACGGUUUUGAUAAGAGUGGAGAGCAAAUGAGAGUGCAGGAAUGAAGACAGUCAGAAAAUUCAUCUUGCCAGUAACAGGCUGUGACUUGCCAUCUCAGGAAUCCAUCCUAUUUCACAACAGUAUCCAUGGAGCGAGCGAGAGAGAGAGAGAGAGAGAGGGAGAGAGAGAGAGAGGGAGAGAGAGAGAGAGAGAGAGAGAUGGAGAGAGUUGUGUAAGUCUAGGGAGGGAAGAGAGGAGGGAGUGUGUCCCUGGGACUGUGUUUUGACUUAAAGCUGGAGUGUAAGAUGGGAAUGUGCGGGAGACUUAGGAGUGGUGCUGGUGUUUUAAGGAUCAAGAACUGAGCUAAUUAAUAAUUUUUCUUCAUCUGGAAAAUGGGAAAAUGAAGUUAUGCUGUCUGAACAGAACAGAGCUGUUUGGGUCACAGUUCCAGUGUUGGGUUUACACUCUCGUUUUAGAAAAAAUAGUUCCUCAAGAAUUCUUUGCUUGUUAACGAUGUUCUACUUAGAAACCUCUCUGCUGUAGUGUUCUGCAUAAAACAUUUAAGGCUUUCCACACGUAGACCUAAUUUGCCAGUGAGACUGCAAAUAAAGACAAAGGCAAUUUUGUAUUCAAAAUAAUUGGUUACUGUACUACUGUAAUAGGACACAAAAUUAGUAAUAAAAAUGGUAUGGCUGGAAUUAUUGUGGAAUGUGAUUUUAAUAUACUAACAGGAGCUUGGACUACACUGACUUAUUAUUAUAAUUAUUGCACAUGGUUCACUAAAUAUAAGCAAUAAUGGUGAAA